AUGAACGCUGGCGGCGUGCCUAAUACAUGCAAGUCGAGCGAACGGACGAGAAGCUUGCUUCUCUGAUGUUAGCGGCGGACGGGUGAGUAACAAGUGGAUAACCUACCUAGAAGAGUGGGAUAAGUUCGGGAAACCGGAGCUAAUACCGGAUAAUAUUUUGAACCGCAUGGUUCAAAAGUGAAAGACGGUCUUGUUGUACUUUAUAGAUGGAGACGCGCUGCAUUAGUUAGUUGGUAAGGUAACGGCUUACCAAGGCAACGAUGCAUAGACGACCUGAGAGGGUGAUCGGCCACACUGGAACUGAGACACGGUCCGAACUCCUACGGGAGGCAGCAGUAGGGAAUCUUCCGCAAUGGGCGAAAGCCUGACGGAGCAACGCCGCGUGAGUGAUGAAGGUCUUCGGAUCGUAAAACUCUGUUAUUAGGGAAGAACAUAUGUGUAAGUAACUGUGCACAUCUUGACGGUACCUAAUCAGAAAGCCACGGCUAACUACGUG
rnacentral:rRNA from 1 species